rnacentral:lncRNA from 1 species
GGAUCUGAGGUGGAACAAGAGCCUGUGACUAAAUAAUGAACCUUGGUCUUUCAUAGCAUCACAGAGUGGUUCACCAAGGGCAGUUCUGGAACCAGCAACACCAGCAUCACCUAGAAAAAGCAUUUUUUCAUUAGAAAACUACAUCCUGCUGAUUGAAAAUUCAAGACUAUAUCAAAAGUGGAUUACAAAAAUCAAUAUUUAUCUUCUAAAACUUGAUAAAUCCUAUUAUGUAUAAUAGUUUUUAAAGAAAUGACUAAAAUGAAUUUGAAACUCAAAAAUUAUGCACCGUGACUUGAAUAUGUCAUCUAACCUAAUCAGGUAGCACAUAUCUAAAUCCAGUUUGGCGAAAUGUGUGUCUCUCUGCCUGUGACCACUCUCCGGGAGGAUUGGAGGCAAGAGGAGGAGAAGGAGGAUCUCCAAGAGCCUGGUACUCUCUGAGGUGGGGCUGCAGUUCGGCACUUCCGGUGGCUGGAGGUGAGGGGAGGACACGAGGCUGACGCUGCAUCUGCAGGUGAGGGCACAGGUCCCCAUCUCCCCAGCCCCCUAGGCAGCUACUAUUCCUGCCCGAUGUGUGGCCGCUCACUGCAGCAACAACACCAAGUCAGGGAAGUUGCUGUUCUGCUUCUGCAAAGACCAGGCAAUGCAGCUGCUGUGGAACCACUUCAUACUGGGCUGCCAUGCAAACUGGUAUGGAGGCAAUGACCGCUCUGUCAAUUGUUCUGACCACUUCGCUCCAGCCUGUUUCAGUGUCUCUUCGGUGAUCCAGAAGAACUUGUGCUUCUCCUAGCGCCUGAGACUCGUGGCAGGCGCGGUGCCCAGCCUGCACUGGCUGUCCUCCCCUGCACCUAAAAGGGAAGAAGAGGGACCAAGCCGGUGGCCCCAAAAAGGGAGAAGAACCCCAGACAGGCAGGCAGCCUGAGGCUGCCCUGGGCCGGCUUCCUGUACUGCCCUCUAAGCCAGGAGAAGGUUGCAGCUUCACAGAAUAAAGGAUACAAAUCAUGAGACAAGAUUAAGAUGGUGGAAUAGAAGGACUGGAGCUCAAAUUCUCUCCUAAAAACAACAACACUCACAACUAAAGACUGAGCACUCUUCACCCAAAUGGACUGGAAACCUUAAAAACGAUAUCCUACUCCAGAAGAAAAAGAGGAGGACACAAAAAGAGGUAGGAGGGGUGAUUUCGUGAUAUAAACAACCCCAUACCUCCUGGGUGGGAAGCUCCACAGACUGGAAACUAACUGGUUCACAGAGACUCACCUACAGGAGUGAGAGUUCUGAGCCCUACAUCAAACUCUUAAGUCUGGGGCUCUGGCGCAGGGAGAAAGAGCCCCAGGGCAUCUGGCCUUGAAGGCCAGUGGGGCUUGUGCGCAGGAGCUCCAUGGGACUGGGGGAAAUGGAGACCCCGUUCUUGAAAGGUGCACAUGGAUUUUCACGUGCACUGGGUCCCAGGGCAAAGCAAAGUCUCCAUGGGAAUCUGAGUCAAACCUGACUGCAGUACUUGGAGGACAUCCUGGGAAAACAGGGGUGAAUGUGGCUUGUUGUGAGGGAAGGACAUUGAAAGCAAACCUCUCAGGAAUAUUCAGCAGUUGCCUUUCUCUGGAAGUGGACAUUUUGGGAAAGUCUGGCCCCACCCGUCAGUCAGCCUGAGAAGCCUCAGGGCAAACAACAACCCAGUGGGAUCACAGCCCCACCUCUCAGUAAACAGGCUACCUAAAGACCCCUCAGGCACACAGCUGCCUCUAAUCCCAUCCAGAGACUAAGCCUCACCCACCAGAGGGAUUAGAAUCUGCUCCACCUACCAGGAGGUAGGCAUCAGCCCCUCCCAUCAGGAAGCCUACAGCAAGCCCCCAUAAUGACUUCAGCCACAAGGGGGGCAGACACCAGAAGUAAGAGAGGCUACAACUCUACUGUCUGCAAAAAGGUCACCAUACCAAAAACCCAUAAAAAUGAAAACUAUAACUCAGAUGAGGGAGAAAGGAAAAACCCCAGAAAAUCAGCUAAGUGAGGAGGAGAUUCUCAGCCUCCAGAAAAAAAAACUUUAGACUGUUGAUGCUGAAGAUGAUGCAAGACAUUGGAAAUAAACUGGAGGAAAAGAUGGAUAAUUUACAGGAAACACUGAACAAAGAGAUACAAGAUAUAAAACUUAAACAAGAAGAGAUGCAAAAUACAAUAACUGCAAUAAAAAAUUCACUAGAAGCAGCUAACAGCAGAAUACAGGAGGCAGAAGAACGAAUAAGCGAGAUGGAGGACAGAUUAGCAGAAAUUACGGAUGCAGAACAGAAAAGAGAAAAAAGACUGAAAAGAAACGAAGAGUCUCAGAGAACUCUGGGACAAUGUUAAAUGCACCAACAUCUGUAUCAUAGGGGUGCCAGAAGGAGAAGAGAGAAAGAAGGGGACAGAAAAAAUAUUCCAAGAGAUAAUAGCUGAAAACUUCCCUAACAUGGGGAAGGAAUCACUCACUCAAAUCCAGGAAGCACAAUGAGUACCAUACAAAAUAAACCCAAGGAGGAACACCCCAAGACACAUAUUAAUCAAACUGACCAAAAUUAAAGACAAAGAGAAAAUCUUGAAAGCAGCUAGGGAAAAGAAACAUGUAACAUACAAGGGAGCCCCAAUAAGGUUAUCGGCAGAUUUUUCAGCAGAAACUCUGCAGGCCAGAAGGGAGUGGCAUGAUAUACUUCAUGUGAUGAAAGGAAAAAACCUCGAACCAAGAUUACUUUACCCAGCAAGGCUCUCAUUCAGAUUUGAAGGAGAAAUCAAAACCUUCACCGAUAAGUGAAAGCUGAGAGAAUUCAGCAACACUAAACCAGCCUUACAAUAAAUACUAAAGGAACUUCU